rnacentral:rRNA from 1 species
CGGAGAGGGAGCAUGAGAAACGGCUACCACUUCUAAGGAAGGCAGCAGGCGCGCAAAUUACCCAAUCCUGACUCAGGGAGGUAGUGACAAGAAAUAACAAUAAACCGGCUUAUGCCGGUUUAAUUGGAAUGAGUACAAUUUAAACAUCUUAACGAGGAACAAUUGGAGGGCAAGUCUGGUGCCAGCAGCCGCGGUAAUUCCAGCUCCAAUAGCGUAUACUAAAGUUGUUGCAGUUAAAAAGCUCGUAGUUGGAUUUCUGCGGGGACGGAGCGGCCGGACGCAACUUGCGUCUCGAGCUAGCGCUUUCCCCACAUCCUGCCGCGAACCGUGCUACCAUUAGCUUGGUGGCGCUGGGGAUCGGCUCGAUUACUUUGAGAAAAAUAGAGUGUUCAAAGCAGGCCACACGCCUUGAAUAAGUUAGCAUGGAAUAAUGAUUAAGGACUUCGGUUCUAUUUUGUUGGUGUUCGGGACUGAAGUAAUGAUUGAUAGGGACAGUUGGGGCGGUCUGUAUUCCAAAGCGAGAGGUGAAAUUCUUAGACCUUCGGAAGACAAACAGCUGCGAAAGCGUUCCGCAAGGAUGUUCCCUUUGAUCAAGAACGAAAGUUGGGGGAUCGAAGACGAUCAGAUACCGUCGUAGUCUCAACUAUAAACUAUACCAGCUAGGGAUCGGCCAACGUUUAACUUUAUCGACUUGGUCGGCACCUUAUGAGAAAUCAAAGCAUCUGGGUUCCGGGGGGAGUAUGGUCGCAAGGCUGAAACUUAAAGGAAUUGACGGAAGGGCACCACCAGGCGUGGAGCCUGUGGCUUAAUUUGACUCAACACGGGAAAACUUACCAGGUCCAGACAUAGGAAGGAUUGACAGAUUGAUAGCUCUUUCUUGAUUCUGUGGGUGGUGGUGCAUGGCCGUUUUUAGUCGGUGAAGUGAUUUGUCUGCUUAAUUGCGUUAACGGACGAGACCCCAGCCUGCUAAAUAGCGCGGCCGAGCUUUGCUCGGUGCGAGCUUCUUAGAGGGACCAUGAUGCGCGAUAGCACAAGGAAGUUUGGGGCAACAACAGGUCUGUGAUGCCCUUAGAUGUUCUGGGCCGCACACGGGCUACACUGGCGCCUGCAACGAGCAUAUCAGCUGGCCCGAGAGGGUCUUGGCUAAUCUUUGGAACCGGCGCCGUGCUUGGGAUUGACCAUUGCAAUUGUUGGUCAUGCAACGAGGAAUGCCUUGUAAACGCGAGUCAUCAGCUCGCAUUGAAUACGUCCCUGCCCUUUGUACACACCGCCCGUCGCUCCUACCGAUGAAUGUUCCGAUGAAAUUUUCGGAGAGCGCCAGAGAACGGGGCUCUGCCUUGCAGAUCUGGAGGCUCAAAGUCACUUAAAUCUGAACAUUUCGAGGAAGGAGAAGUCGUAACAAGGUAACC